AAGAAAGAAAGAACGAAGUGAAUAGAAGAGAAAAGGUAAGGGAAAAGAAGUGACGCACGCUUUUCUCUUCAUUUCACUUCUCUUUCUUUCAGUUCAACAGCCUAUGUGAGGAGUGUUUUGUGUCUUUCUCUUUCAUUCAAC
rnacentral:ribozyme from 1 species